CUUGUUUUGACAAAUGCAUUUCAAAUUCAUCAACACUUUGUUACGCAACUCGUAAUAUCUGUGACAAUGUUAGAGAUGGUUAUAUUUUUCUCCAUAACUUUGUAUCUGCAUAUUUUGUGCAGAAGCAAUGCUGUAAUAUUUAUGACAGAUAUUAUAACUUGUGACUGAGGUAGAACAAAUAUUUGAUAAUGAAACUUCAAACGGUGACACAAAAUCAGGCAUUUCAUAUAAUGACAGUUAUAAAACUGUGUUCCACAAUACAUUGAUUAUUUUCACCGAGAAAAUAAUCAAUGUUGACGUGCUGCUUUAAACGUAGUUCGGUUGAUGGGCUUUGGAUUAAGUUUUCUUUGAGAGGUGGGAAUGGUUGAUCGAAGUCGUCUGCUCAUUAAUGCUUGCGCCGGAGUUACACCGUCAAUAGGAGUAUUACGAUAAUCUAACAACGCGAGAUAUGGAUCUUCGCCGUUGGCUUUGCAUUUCUUUAGAAUAUUCUUCAUUGUUUGCACUGUCUUCUCAUGUAAUCCGCCAGACUGUGGAUAUCUCGGACUUAUGGUGUUGUGACAAAAAUUAUAGUCUUUUGCAAAAUAUCUGUAUUCUUCCGACGAGUAUUGUGGGCCAUUGUCGGACACUACAGUUUCUGGGAUUCCAUGACGACUGAAUAUGGACUUUGUCUUGUUAAUAAUUGUUUGUGCUUUCGUGUCUCGAAGUUCAGCCACUUCGGGAUACCGGCUGUAAUAAUCAACAACUAUUAGAUGUGGUUUUCCAUUCCAAUCAAAAAGGUCAGAGCCAAUUUUUUGCCAGGGACGACUGGGAAUAUCGUGUGAAUUCUCGUUGAUUGGCAUUUGCGUAGUACUGACAUGUUGAGCAGUUUGACACUAGCUCUUCUAGAAUAUGCUGGCCAGAAUAUGCUCUCUCUAGCCAGUCUCUUGGUCUUCUCAGUACCAUGAUGCGAUUGAUGCAGUUUCUGGAGUGUAUCAGCUUGCAAUGUUGGUGGAAUCAGGAUGUGUUGUGGCUCUUGUAGAUAAGACCAUCUUCCGUUGUCAGUUCUUCACGGUAUGGAUAAUAAGGUUUUAACUCAGUUGGUAUGAAAAUCUUAUGAAGUGGCCAUCCGUCUUGUAUCUGCUGUACCUAGAGUUGCAUCGUCUUGUCUUUGCGGAUUUCAUCUUUGAUAGCUUGAAGUUUCCGGUCUGUGACGUAAGACUUUGAUGACAUCAGAUGGAUAAAUCUUUCUGACGCGAUGUCUUCAAAUUGUUCAUGUAUAAUCUCGGGAGGAAAUGCACGCGAGAGCGCAUCAGCUAUGUACAUUUCGCUUCCUUUCUUUUACACCAAAUUGAUAUCGUAGGAUUUCAGCUGCAUCAACAUUUUCUGGAGGCGACUGGGUGCUUGAGAUAGUGGUUUUCGGAAUAUUACUUCUAGGGGUUUAUGGUCGCUUUCAAUGGUUAUGGUUUCACCGUAGACAUAUUGAUGGAAGCGUUUGCAGGCAAAGACGACAGCUAGCAGCUCCUUCUCAAUCUGUGCGUAACGUCGUUGUGUGUCAUUCAUGGCUUUUGAUGCGUAGGCUACUGGACCCUGGUCUUGAAUUAAAGCAGCUCCAAGGCCAUUCUGUGAAGCGUCGACCUGGAGUAUCACUGGUUUUGCUACAUCGUAAUAACGGAGAGUAAUAGGAUGAGUUAGUAAAUGUUGUAGAUCUUGAAAUGCUUUCUCAUGUGUUUCAUGCCAGUGGAAUUCAAUGUUCUUCUUUAUAAGCUCUCUCCGUGGAGCGGUGACGUCCGAAAUAUUUGGUGCAAACUUGGCGAUGAAAUUACCCAUGCCCAACAAUCGUUGGACGUCCUUCUUGUUUUCUGGUUUGAGGUAGUUCUUGAUUGCUUCAACCUUACUCUCAUCAGAACACCUCUUGUGCGAACAUUACUCCAAAGGGUAUUACAGUAAAACGAUAUCGACCAAAUGACGUAUUAAACGUCGUCAUGUAAGAGCUCUCCUCGUCAAGAGGCAUUUGCCAAAAUCCCGAGUUUGCAUCCAGUUUGCUGAAGAAUUUGGCAUUGGUCAAACGGCUGGUAAUCUCUUGCUGGAUGGGAAGCUGGUAAUGUUCUCUGAGCAAAGCUUUGUUGAGGUCACGUGGAUCGAUGCAAAUGCGUAACUUUCCAGAGCGUUUUUCAUUAACUACCAUCGAGUUGACCCAUGCUGUCGGCUCAUUCACUUUCUUAAUUAUUCCUUUGGAUUCCAUAUCUAUUAGCUCGUUGUGGACACGUUCUCUCAGUGCUGAAUGUGUAUCCCCUUGUAAUGUGUAUCCAUAUUUUUUAGUUCUAUUGUUGAUGGUGUAUAAACGUGAAAUUUUAAGUUUGUUUCAUGAUGAUAAUAUGCAACUCUGUUAUCAUCAUUCGUUUUUGCAAGUUUUCUGCUAGUUGAGGAGCCAUAGGGCGAGAAAAGCCACACCCGACAUACAAUGGGUGACGAAACUGUAAAAGUCCAGGUUAUAUUUCGAGUUGAUCCAACGAUUAUUUCAAACGUAUUUCAUCACGUCAUAGUUUCGUAGGAAGCAGAAGGGCUGAAGGAGCUUUACUCUUGUGGAGUUUAUAAUUGGAUUAGAUUAGUGUCUUUCUGAAAGUGGUGUAAAAAAGUUACUGCUUGGCCAGAUUUAUGCUAACGACUGAUCUUCUAUCUGGACAAACUUAAGCAAGCAAAACAUAGUUCGUCUUCAAGUUCGUCUGUGUGUAUAUACGCGCAAACUUACAGAUCAUCCGUCAAGAUGCUUACGAAUUAUUUGAGUAGUUUGUUUAUUUAGACGAAUUUGCACGGGUAUUUCGACUUGACGCAUCAUCCUUCUGUGAAUACAAAUGUGAAACGAGGACAAACUACGGAAAAAAUGAUACCUCGUAGUUCAUAACUCGCUCCAAAAUCUUCCAAAGGCAAAAUUGGAAUUUGUGUAGUUUAUUAAUAGAUAGUUCGUCUCGUGUUUAUACUUAGACGUAUAAUCUGUUAGACGGAUCAUUCCUCCAUGCAGAUGAUCCGUCUCUAGUAUGAAAAUUGACCUAUACUAAAAAUUAACAAAGACAUGAUCCUGAUUUUGCAAUCUUGACUUUUGCUCAUUAACGAUUUUCACUAAAUCUGACAUCAUUGAUAGUUAUUCUUCAAGGCAAUAUCUAUAUCAUUAUUGGAGUUCCUACAUUCUGUAUUAUUGGUAAAUAGCACAACAACUACAUGCAUCUUAGCAUUUAUCACAGGUUCUUGAACUUUUUAUAAGAGCUUUAAAUUUUCCUGAUCAACCUGAGCUCUAGUUCAUUCGCAUCAAGGUGUAUCAAUUCAAAAUAUUGCUAUUUGGGUACAACGCUCGAAUUACUUUUUCCAAAAAGACAUCAAUCACUGCAGUUCAGAAUGAAAGAAAAUCUUGUCUCGCACAAAGGAUAAUUAGAGGGUAGCAUUUUGGAGAGCCAAUCCUGCCAUAAGUCAAUGAAAUGGGUAAGCUUCAGGUGAUUAUUCUGACAUUAAUUACGACAAAAUUAUACCAAAUAAGAUAGAAAGUAUAUACAAUAUGUAUAAAUUGCGACAGCAACUGCAAUGCCCACAAAUUGUGGGUAUGUUACAGUCCACAAAAGUCAGAUCGAUCAUGUUAAGCUCUAUGUUUUUUUUGUAAAAAAUUAUCUUGAUUGCACUAUACUUUGUGUUGCAGUUUUUUCUCCUUUGCGCGUUAACGCAAAGCAGUUAUGCGUCCACCGAUUCGUUAUUGGAACUGUAUGCCAUCCAAUUUGUAUGCGCAGUCGACACACAGUAUUGUUUAGUAAAUUGCCUAAAGGACUUAUCAAGCGCAGCAAAAUCAUUCAACUUAAAUUCCUGAUAAGGCUAAAUUACCUGAAGGAAGUAUCGUCACAUGAUCAAAAAUUGUUUUGUGUGGAGCCAAAAACAUUUGUAGAAAUACAAGCGUUUUUGUUGAUGUUGAACAUUUUGAUGUGAUGUUCAACAAGACAUCAUUCUUUCCUUGUAUUUUUUGGAAAGUUUUUACUGUUUCUACUUUUUUAUUGGGGACUGUUGUGAUCUUUACCACAGGUCUUUGAUGUCCUGUGUAAUAAACGAGCCAAUUUAAGAUCGCUGGACAAAGAAAAAAUAAGUGUUUCAUCCAUCGAAGUAUUUCACGAUUUUCAGGUGUGUUUGCGGGUAGACUAUGAAUCUUAAUUAGCAUGAAUUUUUGCACUUAGCAUGAAUUUUUGAACCUAGCAUGAAUUUUUGAACUUAGCAUGAAUUUUUGAAUUUAGCAUGAGAAUUUUUGAACUUAGCAUGAAUAUAUUUGAAUUUAGCAUGAAUUUAUUUGAACUUAGCAUGAAUAUUUUCAGUUAGCAUAACCCUGUUGAAAGAAUGCAGGGUUAAUCAGGAUGAAAAAUAUUUUAAAAUAUUUCUUAACUUUUAAACAAUAAACAUACCAAAUUGACAUCGAAAAUUCUUAUAUCAAUUAUUUUGAAAAACUAUCACCACGCAGAUUUUGUUUAUUCGUGUUUUUUUUCACACAGCCCGUAACAGUAACAUUACAUUAGCAGUUACCAGUGAAAUUAAUUGGCGUUCUUGUGAUUGGUUUCUUUACGCAAUAAGUACUGAAUUAAGUACUUUUAUUUUAUGCUUGUACUGUUUUUAUUUUUCCAUAAAGUUUUAACACACAUAUGAUUUGGUGUAUGUAAACUGUAAGAAUGAUUUCAUAAGAAAAAUACUGAUUACGUUCCAUUUCAUAUAUAGCGAUCUUGUACAUUGUUUUAUCCCUGGUUAAAUGUUUUAAAUUUAAAUGAAUGUAAAAUUUUAAAGCGACUAUGAGGAAAGACUUGUUAAAUUGUACAAGAAAUUUGCUUUAGUUAACAAAAUAGUUAUCGUCUUCUGUCUUCAGCACUUUCCGUCGAUCCCGAACGUUUAGCUUUAUCUUUAAAUGCUAAAGCCUACAUCAACGUGCCAUUAUCCAUGUGAAAAAAUUUCAUAAAUUGAAGAUUCUCAUAAUGUUAUCACAUCCAUACUCAAAGGAAAUUGAAGAGAAGUGUUCUUGAUCCUGCAAAACUAAUUCUCGCUACAUAUCCGGCAAUUUUUGUGUUGUUUUUUGAUGAUACUAUGAUAAGUAGCGUAGCUAAGUUCUGAAAAAAUAAUGUGACCCGAUUUUGCCAAAACUUAAAAAAAUAAUUUGUGCAUUUACUUUCGAAUCUUACCCUGCUUCAAUCCAGCAGGUUACCUAAGGACCGAAAUACUUUUCGAACAUUUGCGUUAAAUUUUGUGUAAUGUUAUAGAAAUCUCUUGUUCGAAGAUCACACUGUAAGAGAUCUGAAAACCAUGUUGCAUAAUUAGUUACAGCUACUUCCACAUCAAUUUUAAGUUUCUUGACAGGUUUUAAAGCUCUCGUACAGUUUGGUAAAGUUGUGGAUAUUAAAACACAACAAAAACCAUAUAGGCAUGUACAUGUAAAAUGUACGUAAAUUUUGUUUAGUGUAUAGUUAUAUUUAUAGUUAACCGCAGGCCGUUACGAAGGACAGGGUGUGCGGGCGUGGGACACACUCAAGUAAUAUUUUCGGCUAAAUAAGGCUUGUUUAAACAUGUACGUAAGCGUGAAAAAAAAACUAAAUCUUAUUUGUGUUGAAUAACCAUGUGGGUGUAGUUCCUUUCAGAAGACCACGCCGUAUAACCACACCCAUUUUCGAAAAAUUUGAUUUUCAACUCUUCGACACGGCCUUUGGUUAAGUCAUACUCAAGCUUUCGUAUUUUAUUGUUUUCAUUUUGUUUUGAAAUUUCAUGUUUUAUAUAAGUAAUAUGUGUUUGUCUAUAGUGUUGAAGAUAUAUUCAAUGUAAAUGUCAUCAUCUCUUACUUACACUUGCAUUGAAAGUUUCCAAUAAUAGAAAAGUGUAAAUUUUCAAUCUUUAUUUUGUCUUAAUUUUUUUGUGCAAGCGUGGAUUCGAUAAGCUGCGUGAUUUUACACCUUUCGGCAUUUGCUUUGUUGUGUACGACUUUGAUAAAGUAGGUCAGGUUAAUAUUUUUGUCAAGUAAAGUAAUCAGUUUAAUGGACGGUUAACCCCUUCAAAAAAUAAAAAUUUUUUAGACUUUUGAUACCGAAGCGAAUCCACGUUUGAAGUCCAGCAUUGUAACACUGUAGAUAAAGUACUGUUUUCAAAAAAUAUAUGUUAACAAAAAUA